UUUAUUGGAGAGUUUGAUCCUGGCUCAGGAUGAACGCUGGCGGCGUGCCUAAUACAUGCAAGUCGAGCGAAUGGAUUGAGAGCUUGCUCUCAAGAAGUUAGCGGCGGA
rnacentral:rRNA from 1 species